GGAGAAUUGGUUAAAGAGAUAUUUGGCCGAGCUCUUCGCUUUACGGAAACGCGAGAAAAACAAACGCUUUCACAACACACAUGAGCAAUCGCUCAUCUUUAUUUAUUCAUCCGUAUUGAGGAAUAAUCCGUUAGUCUAAGAGGACCGUGUGACACGAACAUUCAAAUUUUCCCGCCGGAUGGUGACUCGUCCUCUUUCGCUCCGGGACCGUCAUGCGUCACCCGAUCAACAACUCAGAAACACAACAAUAUCUUUGGGUUGGUCAACCAGCAGGUUGUUCCUUAAUACCGAAAUUACGGUGCUCCGACUACAAACAUCGCAAGGAUAUUGGAGGUCUCGGAGCAACGAAAGAGCCAACAAGGGACGGCAACAAAACCGAAAAUUGAUAAGUGAUCUGAUCUUUCUUUGGAAAUAUUGUUGCGAAUACUUAAAUCGAACUAUCUGUAAGAGUGUGAGAGAAUGAGUGAGUAGUAGCGUGAAUUCCUACGAUUCGAUUUGACCAAAAAUAUACAUGUACUAACAAAUAUCUCUUUGAUGGAAUAUUUCGUUCCUCUAUUAAUAUGUAAAUAUAAUUCCACAACACAA